rnacentral:snRNA from 1 species
AUCCCUUCCCUGCCUAUUGGCAAAAAUCAAAUGCAGUAUCUGUGCUUAUCAGUUGAAGCAUCUGAGUGUUCUCUGUCUGUGUACUGAGCAUUAAAUGAAUGUUUGGAAUUAGGAGGUAGAUUGGGAGCUUGUCCUGUCCACUCCAUGCCUCAGCCUGGAACUGUAUUACUUCCAGGAAUGGUGCGUUCCUU